rnacentral:rRNA from 1 species
UGGGGAAUUUUGGACAAUGGGCGAAAGCCUGAUUCAGCAAUGCCGCGUGUGUGAAGAAGGCCUUCGGGUUGUAAAGCACUUUUGUCCGGAAAGAAAUCCUUGGCUCUAAUACAGUCGGGGGAUGACGGUACCGGAAGAAUAAGCACCGGCUAACUACGUGCCAGCAGCCGCGGUAAUACGUAGGGUGCAAGCGUUAAUCGGAAUUACUGGGCGUAAAGCGUGCGCAGGCGGUUUGCUAAGACCGAUGUGAAAUCCCCGGGCUCAACCUGGGAACUGCAUUGGUGACUGGCAGGCUAGAGUAUGGCAGAGGGGGGUAGAAUUCCACGUGUAGCAGUGAAAUGCGUAGAGAUGUGGAGGAAUACCGAUGGCGAAGGCAGCCCCCUGGGCCAAUACUGACGCUCAUGCACGAAAGCGUGGGGAGCAAACAGGAUUAGAUACCCUGGUAGUCCACGCCCUAAAACGAUGUCAACUAGUUGUUGGGGAUUCAUUUCCUUAGUAACGUAGCUAACGCGUGAAGUUGACCGCCUGGGGAGUACGGUCGCAAGAUUAAAACUUAAAUGAAUUGACGGGGUCAUAGCUGUUUCCU